rnacentral:rRNA from 1 species
GCUUACGACCAUACCAACCUGGACAUGCCCGAUCUCGUCUUAUCUCGGAAGCUAAGCAGGUUUGGGCCUGGUUAGUACAUGCAUGGGAGACCGCCUUGAAAUACCAGGUGCUGUAAGCU